CUACGGGGCGCUGCAGUGGGGAAUAUUGGACAAUGGGCGCAAGCCUGAUCCAGCAAUGCCGCGUGAGUGAUGAAGGCCUUAGGGUUGUAAAGCUCUUUUACCAGGGAUGAUAAUGACAGUACCUGGAGAAUAAGCUCCGGCUAACUCCGUGCCAGCAGCCGCGGUAAUACGGAGGGAGCUAGCGUUGUUCGGAAUUACUGGGCGUAAAGCGCGCGUAGGCGGUUACUCAAGUCAGAGGUGAAAGCCCGGGGCUCAACCCCGGAACUGCCUUUGAAACUAGGUGACUAGAAUCUUGGAGAGGUCAGUGGAAUUCCGAGUGUAGAGGUGAAAUUCGUAGAUAUUCGGAAGAACACCAGUGGCGAAGGCGACUGACUGGACAAGUAUUGACGCUGAGGUGCGAAAGCGUGGGGAGCAAACAGGAUUAGAUACCCUCGUAGUC
rnacentral:rRNA from 1 species